UACAGAGGGUGCUAGCGUUGUUCGGAAUCAUUGGGCGUAAAGGGCGUGUAGGCGGUUUGUCGCGUCUGCUGUGAAAACUCAGGGCUUAACCCUGAGCUUGCAGUGGGUACGGGCAGACUAGAGUGCGGUAGGGGAGACUGGAAUUCCUGGUGUAGCGGUGAAAUGCGCAGAUAUCAGGAGGGAACACCGGUGGGCCGAAGGCGG
rnacentral:rRNA from 1 species